rnacentral:lncRNA from 1 species
UUAUCAUAUCUAAUGCUAAUCCUAAGAUUUGGAAGCUGUGAUUUAUCCAAGAAAUAUGCGCCUUUAGCUCCUGCCGGUAGUUGGCCAAAGUAGGUGUAUAGCAUAGAUUCUCCACUGCUUGCUGCCAACUUUGCAAGGAAAUCUGAGACCAUGUUUGCUUCUCUGUAGCAAUGGGAGAAUGUUAUCUCAUUUGAAACAAUCAAUCUUGUGGUGUAUUCCACAAUGGGUCUUAAAUUCAUAUUGUGGGAGGUCCUAUUUUGCAUCAUAUUUACAAUCAAUAGAGAGUCCAUUUCGACAACACAAGACUCGUACCCUCUGACUUUUAGCCACGGCUUCGGCGUCAUUGUGAUCAACAACUUAGCAUUUUUUUUUCCUUUUUGGGGAGAAAAGGAUAAGCUGGGAAUUAGAGGAUGAGAAUUAGGUGAGGUACGUAGGGGGAGUGGAAG